UUUGAAACUGGCAGGCUAGAGUACUGUAGAGGGGGGUAGAAUUUCAGGUGUAGCGGUGAAAUGCGUAGAGAUCUGAAGGAAUACCGGUGGCGAAGGCGGCCCCCUGGACAGAUACUGACACUCAGAUGCGAAAGCGUGGGGAGCAAACAGGAUUAGAUACCCUGGUAGUCCACGCUGUAAACGAUGUCUACUUGGAGGUUGUGGCCUUGAGCCGUGGCUUUCGGAGCUAACGCGUUAAGUAGACCGCCUGGGGAGUACGGUCGCAAGAUUAAAACUCAAAUGAAUUGACGGGGGCCCGCACAAGCGGUGGAGCAUGUGGUUUAAUUCGAUGCAACGCGAAGAACCUUACCUACUCUUGACAUCUACAGAAUCUUGCGGAGACGC
rnacentral:rRNA from 1 species